rnacentral:rRNA from 1 species
ACUCCUACGGGAGGCAGCAGUGGGGAAUAUUGCACAAUGGGGGAAACCCUGAUGCAGCCAUGCCGCGUGUGUGAAGAAGGCCUUCGGGUUGUAAAGCACUUUCAGUAGGGAGGAAGGUAGUGUAGUUAACACCUGCAUUAUUUGUACGUUACCUACAGAAGAAGCACCGGCUAACUCCGUGCCAGCAGCCGCGGUAAUACGGGAGGGUGCGAGCGUUAAUCGGAAUUACGUGGGCGUAAAGCGCAUGCAGGCGGCCUGUUAAGUCAGAUGUGAAAGCCCGGGGCUUAACCUCGGAAUUGCAUUUGAAACUGGCAGGCUAGAGUCUUGGUAGAGGGGUUAGAAUUUCAGGUGUAGCGGUGAAAUGCGUAGAGAUCGUGAAGGAAUACCGAGUGGCGAA